CAACAAGAGGACAUAGUCUUAAACUAGAGGGGCAAAGGUCAAAAAAUAUCAGGAAGCAUUACUUUACUGAAAGGGUAGUGCAUGCAUGGAAUAGCCUUCCGGCUGAAGUGGUAGAGGUUAACACAGUGAAGGAGUUUAAGCAUGCGUGAGAUAGGCAUAAGGCUAUCCUAACUAUAAGAUAAGGCCAGGGACUAAUGAAAGUAUUUAGAAAAUUGGGCAGACUAGAUGGGCCGAAUGGUUCUUAUAUGCCGUCACAUUCUAUGUUUCUAUGACAUUUGCAGCUUCCAAAUGGAGAGAUCACUGGCUAUAUGUUCUCUGUAUAGAGUCCUCUAUGUCCUCAAUUAAACCACUAAUGUCUAUCUUGCAAGAAUUUGGCGAAAUUUAUUGUUACAAAUUAAAUACUAACAAAACUCAAGGUCUUCCAUUUUUUAUGCCAUGGUAUGAA